GGCAUCGAUGAAGAACGCAGCGAAAUGCGAUAAGUAAUGUGAAUUGCAGAAUUCCGUGAAUCAUCGAAUCUUUGAACGCACAUUGCGCCCCCUGGCAUUCCGGGGGGCAUGCCUGUUCGAGCGUCAUU
rnacentral:rRNA from 1 species